GCCAAUCAGGAAGUGACUCUUAUUUAGAAACCUCUGCGUUCCUAUUGAGCAGUGAAAGGGAUAUCAACCAGAUUCCUUUUUCUAUAGCUUCCCUAAUGUUUCUAGUGUCACAAGACAGUUCCAGGCUUUUAUUUUGAAAACUGAGCAUGAGCGACAACAUUGUGUUAGUGGUCAGAUGGUGUCUCUCAGAGUGAUUUGUGUGGCCAUUGUUUCUACUAACUGACCUGGUUGAUAUAUCAUCAAACAGAUAUUUUGAAAAACACCUUGAGGAUUGAUUAUAAAAAAGUUUGCCAUUAUUAUGGAUCUAAUUUGGAAUAUUUUUCGGCGUUGUCGUGACCGCAAUUUACGGUCAAUUUCUCAGCCAAACGUGAAGAAAUAACGGAGCUAUAUCGGCUACAAAAAUAAUAUUUAUGCCACAAAAGGAACAUUUGCUAUCUAACUGGGAGUCUCGUGAGUGAAAACAUCCGAAGCUCAUCAAAGGUAAAUUAUUUAAUUUGAUUGCUUUUCUGAUUUUCGUUACCAAGCUACCUACUGCUAGCUGGGCAUAAUGCUAUGCUAGGCUAUCGAUAAACUUACACAAAUCCUUGUCUUGCUUUGGCUGUAAAGCAUAAUUUCAAAAUCUGAGAUGACAGGGUGAUUAACAAAAGGCUAAGCUGUGUUUCAAUGUAUUUCACUUGUGAUUUCAUGAAUAUUAAUAUUUUCUAGAUGGAUUUUUUUGUCCGUUGCGUUAUGCUAAUGAGUGUCAGUUGAUGACAAUUCUCCCGGAUCCGGGAGGAGUAGUUCCAAGAAGUUAUUAACACUCUUGAAGCUAGGAGGCAGUAGUGUAGUAAACAGAGUGAGUACAGUAGUGUAGUAAACAGAGUGAGUACAGUAGUGUAGUAAACAGAGUGAGUACAGUAGUGUAGUAAACAGAGUGAGUACAGUAGAGUAUUAGUAAACAGAGUGAGUACAGUAGUGUAGUAAACAGAGUGAGUACAGUAGAGUAUUAGUAAACAGAGUGAGUACAGUAGAGUAUUAGUAAACAGAGAGAGUACAGUAGAGUAUUAGUAAACAGAGAGAGUACAGUAGAGUAUUAGUAAACAGAGAGAGUACAGUAGAGUAUUAGUAAACAGAGUGAGUACAGUAGUGUAGUAAACAGAGUGAGUACAGUAGAGUAUUAGUAAACAGAGUGAGUACAGUAGAGUAUUAGUAAACAGAGUGAGUACAGUAGAGUAUUAGUAAACAGAGAGAGUACAGUAGAGUAUUAGUAAAGAGUGAGUACAGUAGAGUAUUAGUAAACAGAGUGAGUACAGUAGAGUAUUAGUAAACAAUCAAAGAUGACAAGACUACAUUUAUCGACAUGUCUGUAGACAGUGAUACCCUCUUAAGGACAUUUCCAAAUGUAACUGCGGGUCGCUCAGGACCUGAAGUAGGGAUACGCAUUUCCUUGAUACCAUUUAAAAUGACCUUUUGAGGUUUGUGGAAAUGUGACAUGAAUGUUGGAGAAUAUAACACAUUAGAUCUGGUAAAAGAUGAAUGCAAACAAAAACAUGUUUAAUUCUUCCCAUCGUUGAAAUACAAGAGUUGGGCCAUAAUGUAAUAUGUCAGGUUUGAGACAAUUUAGACUUUGGCCAUUAAAUGUCAGCAGUGUAUUUGCAAAGUUGAAGACUGAUUCAAUGAACCAUUCUGUUCAAAAUGUUGUAUUGAGACCUCCUAAUGGUAUUAUUCCACUGUAAUAGCUACUGUAAAUUGGAGAGGGCAGUUAGAUGAACAAGAAUUGAAGCUUUCUGCCAAUGUCAGAUAUGUCUAUGUCCUGGGAAAUGUUCUUGUUACUUACAACCUCAUGCUAAUCACAUUAGCCUACGUUAGCUCAACCUCAUGCUAAUCACAUUAGCCUACGUUAGCUCAACCUCAUGCUAAUCACAUUAGCCUACAUUAGCUCAACCUCAUGCUAAUCACAUUAGCCUACAUUAGCUCAACCGUCUCACAGGGGGAGACCGAUCCCGUUGAGGAUAACGCCCUUUUAGUGUAACACCAGAUCCCAAAUGAGUGGAUUUCACAACUUGAAUCUGUUUACACAUUUUAUCACAUGUUUUUAAUACUUCAUUUGUGGAGGUGAAGAAUCUUUUCAACUAAUUUUGAGCAUUUUUUAUGAAAGUUAACUGAAGAGGUAUAGUUUAUGUUAACCUAUAUUCUAAUUGUAAUAGACUGUUUAUCAUCAUGAACCUCCUCUGUUUGUCUGUCUAGAAACGGUGCUGUUACAGAUGCUGCUUGUGUUUAUCAUCAUGAACCUCUGUUGUCCGUCUAGAAACAGUGCUGUUACAGAUACUGCUUGUGUUUGUCAUCAUGUGACGGGAAGAUUAGAACAUGUACCUUUUCUUUAUGUUUAAUGUGAAAACAAGGUUCAUUUCAUUCUAAUUCUGAAGAUGAAUCAAAACAUUUAGGCAUUAAAGUAAAUACAUCGAAGCAAGGUGUUAGGUUGUAAACAGACGACCUCAAAAGAAUGCAGAGAAAAGCUCAGAGUUUAUUCACCCCACUGAAUGCUGCAUUUAUAUGCCACAGCUUGCACAUAACCAAACAAUAAUUGAUAUGUCAAGACAAAGGUAGGGGUGUGACUUCUCAGAAAUGUCCUUCUGUUUCCCAGAACUGCCUGUCGGUCUGUUGUUGAGCGGCUGGUAUCACCCCUCCCCCAUUAUCCCCCAUGUUGUUCCACCUCCUUGUGGGAGGAGCCAGGCGAGGCCACAGAUCAGACUCCUCCAUCUCAUCCCACCAACUCUGUCAGUCCACCAGGCCACUGCAGUAACAGCCAUAUCUUCACAUCACGUAGCUUCAGUACCAUCUCAAUGUGUUGAAGCACCAUCCUGGAUCCUGUGGCAACGUCAAUAUGAAACAGCAUUGACCCGUGAUCACCACCAACCAGGGCUCCACAGCGGUGUCCUUUGAUGCCCAGGAUUUGCUCAAGAUCAACUAAAGGAGAUUUGGAUGGCCCCUUGUCAGUGGCCCUAGGAGUGAAGGGCCCGACAGGCAUACUGCAAAUCAUAAUAACUUCCCACCAUAAACGGACCAGGCAGCGUGGUGAGAAGCAGCAGUGCUUUCUGGAGGAAUGGACAUGGGAGGAGAUAUUGGAAGGUA